AGAGUUUGAUCCUGGCUCAGAUUGAACGCUGGCGGCAUGCCUUACACAUGCAAGUCGAACGGCAGCACGGGAGCAAUCCUGGUGGCGAGUGGCGAACGGGUGAGUAAUAUAUCGGAACGUGCCCAAUCGUGGGGGAUAACGCAGCGAAAGCUGUGCUAAUACCGCAUACGAUCUACGGAUGAAAGCGGGGGACUCAGCAAUGGGCCUCGCGCGAAUGGAGCGGCCGAUAUCAGAUUAGCUAGUUGGUGGGGUAAAGGCUCACCAAGGCGACGAUCUGUAGCUGGUCUGAGAGGACGACCAGCCACACUGGAACUGAGACACGGUCCAGACUCCUACGGGAGGCAGCAGUGGGGAAUUUUGGACAAU
rnacentral:rRNA from 1 species